rnacentral:lncRNA from 1 species
AUCAAGUAGAAUAUAGUUACAAGAAUUGCUGUUGUGCUCCUGCCUGCAAAGUUUAUCAUCUGUCAGAUUUCAAGGCCACUUUGGAUUGAUUAAUUUCUUUUUGUUUCUUAUAGCAUAUAUAUUUUUUGUUUAUUUCUUUGCAGAAAAUGUUGAUGGGAUGCCAACUGUGUACGUUUGUCCUUGUUGGAUUCAGAAUAUAUUUUGCAUUUCUUUUUCUAUUUUUUUGGAUCCAGUAAAAAAUAUUUGAAAACUGUUUGAACUUACCUUGCUUUUACACGGUCUUAGUAGAGAACCAAGCAGUCUGAUGUGACAUUUUCCCCAGUACUGAGGCAAAGCUCUUCUGAUGAGUCAACUUCAUGUCCCUUACCUGGGGCCUUUUCUCUUUCUUUGACUGUAGUGUGUGUGUGUCUGUGUGUCCUCUGAAGAGUGUUCCCUCAAGUGUCUUGGGGUGUUUUUUUCUCUUUCAGAGGGAGUUUCUUCACACACAAGCGCAAUUCAGUGCAUGAGUAUUUGCAGACUUCAGAGUUCUCUCUCUGUAUAAUCCUCUCUUCUUCAAUACUCUUACCUCUAGACUGUUUUGGUUUGUUUGUUAGUUUUUGAGUUCCCUGGAAUCCUACUCUGAGAGGGAGAAUUCCGUGCAGUAGGGGUUCGUGAUAUACUCCCAGGAAAGACGUAUAGGAGGAAUGACAGAGAAUGUGUGACAAUUGAGUGCUAAGCUAGAAGGCACUUCAAGGACAUCCUAAGUUAAGACAUGAUUUUGGGAUCGAGGCAUCAGGCAAUCAUUGCCGCUGAACUGUAUUCUGAAGGGGGCACUUUCUUGUAUGAAGGCAUUCUUUGAACUCAAUGGCAUUUUCCUGUGGGGAAACAGCUGUAGAAUCCAGGGCCUCCCUGCAGCCUUGGGUGGAUGGAGGGUGGGUGAGCCCUGAAAAGGGGAUCUAAGGGAUUUUCAGUGCUCACUGUGAAAGGCUUCCCUGUUCAGAACAUCAGGAUGCCAUGAAGCUGGGGCUUGAGGGUCUCAGUUAAACAUAGGCAGUUCAGAAAAAUAAUCAGGGCAUUUGGGCCACAGAGUAGAGGCACUGA